AAGUAUACAAAGAGGCUGUUAUGGAACCAAAGCUAUAUACCAAAGGGAGCUACACCGGGGUUAAUACCUCGGGAGCUUAAUUCGUGCCAUUAUGUGUUACGAAAGAUACGGCAUGUUAAGCCCUAAUAAGCAAUUAUAUGAUAGAAACGGGGUGAAUUGAAAUAUCUUAUUAGCCUCAGGAACAGAAAUCAAACGAGAUGCUUUAAGUAAUGUGAAUGAAAGGAGCCUAGUCUGAAGUAAGUAAAGUGGAGUGCAUAUCAGCUUGAAAGCUAGGUUAAGGGGAACCUUCCUCUAAGACUAAAUAUGGUAUAUAAGCGAUAGUGAAAAGUACCGUGAGGGAAAUGGUUGAAAUAGCAACUUUAUAAGCAGCUCACGUCUAAUCCUCGCCAGGAAACAAGAGCGUACCUUUUGCAUAAUGGGUCAAGCAAGUUAAUACUUGAUGCGAGCAGCCUGAUAGUGUGAGGGAACUCCAACAAGACGAUAUCUCUCUCUCCAUGAAUCUUUAGAUUAAAAGAGGGCGCUUCGCAUGGAUUAUGAGUUGCCCUACCAACUGCGAAGAUAAGACAAUUAUGACAUUGCAAUGAAGUAGUAUCAGGUAUUAGACCCGAAGCUUAGUGAUCUUACCAUGGAUCUGUUUACGCGAAACCUAUAUAAGUAGGUAGUUCUAAAUAGAAUAUCAGGAGGUACAGAAUUGUGAUCCCAUGCAACUAGUAACCCUUUUCAUGCCUCUUAGUGCUGCUAGUACGAAGGGUAAGAAACAAGGUGCUUUUUGCGGACAUUGGGGGUUCGUGAAGAAUCUAUCAGUGGGUAUUUGCUCUCGGAAGGCCUAGAUAUGAAUAUUGAACAAUCAGACAUAACAUGAUAAGGUGAUAUGUCGAUAUGGCGAAUAGGCCAGAACAAGCGUUAAUAAGGUUCCUAAAUCGUUGUUAAGUGAAAUAAAGGGAGUUCUUAUCCCAAACGACCAGGAAGUAGGCUUAGCAUCGGCCAUCUUUUGAAAAACUCGUAAUAUAAUACUGGUUUUGCUUUAAUUAGCACCUUUCCUAAUCUAAUUUUGGAAAGAAACAGGGUAGAAGCACCGAAGAUUCAACGGAUCUAAACAACAUACCGAGACCUUGUCCUAGUAUAGUACCGCAUGUAAGUCUUGGGCUGCUGUCCACUGCUAUGCGUAAAUAUAUUGGGGGUAGCGUAACAUUGGGGAAGUUUAUUACGAUGUCUUUAAUAGGCAUAUAUCUGAUAACCCAAGCGAUAAUGCUGACAUGAGUAACGAUAAAGGGGAAUACCCUCGCCUAAAGCUUAUGGUAUAAAUGGCCUGUCGUAAAGCUAAUUAAAGUUACGGCCUCUAAGCUAACCCCAAAAGGAGUAAGCGAUGAGAAAAUCUUAAGAGUUUACAGUACACAACGCCCCCCCGCGUAUACCUAAUCUUAAAAGGAUAAUAAAAAAGGUUUAGCUCUAGUGACAGGCGUGCUGGAAAAGUGUAAGCUCGGCAUCAGGGAGGCAUAUACCUAAGUUUUAAAGGCAACUAAGCCAUAUGUCCCAUGUCGAUUGGACCGUACCUAAAUACUAACACAAGUAAGCAAGUAGAGUAUACGAAGGCGUUCGAGUGAACAAUCAUUAAGGAACUCAGCAAAUUGACUCCGUAACUUCGGGAGAAGGUGGGCCGUCCCUGAUGAUUAAUAUUAGAUAGGGAAAGGAGGCACAGAAUGGUGUUGUACGACUGUUUAAUUAAAACAAAGCACACUGCAAAGAAAUGAAUUCGAAGUAUUGGGUGUGAUCUCUGCCCGAUGGCGGCUGGCUACCGGAUUUGCUUAGUUCACUAAUACAAGCUAGGUUUUGAAGGAACCCCCGUUCAAUGGCGGUUUUAACGAUGAGAAUCCUAAGGUAGCGGAAUACCCUGGCCGUUAAAUGCGGUCUUGCAUAAUUAUCCCUUAACAUAUAUAUAUAGAAUGAAUAGGCUUACAUAUGCACCCGCCAGGUAAACUACGUUAGGGGUCAAGUAAGCAAGAGCCAAAGGAGCAUGCAUCACAAAGGAAGAUUUGCUGGUAGAUAAAAAAAAAUCAGAAGCUAUGUGACGAUGUGACGAUGUGACGAUGUGCUUUAUGUGCUUUAUGUAAAUAUGCGGGAGCAUUCUAACCUAGGAAAUCAUAAUGUCUUGUGCAAUAUAAAAGAAGCAAACUCCGGGAAAAUCCUAAGAGCCCCUUUAACCAAGGCUUUAGCCGAAAGGUCAGAGCUGGCCUGAUUAAUGACUCAGGGUAUGGUAAUAUCAAAGGGGAUAGACGAAAGAACAAUGGACAACCGCGGAUCUAAGUCAGAGUUGAUUUUUCCCAUGCGAAGCGCUCAUUCCCAUAAAUGUAUCGGGCUGGAGUGGUAUGGUAGUCUGCUACUGUAAAAGAGCAACGAGCGGAUGCUUCUUCAGAGAUAGAGAUUAUCUUUGUAAGGUGCGCUCUAGUCACCAUGAAAGUGGCUCCUGGGAGAAACUAACCUAAGUAACCUAGGAUUAAAUCUAACGCAACAACCCUAACCUAAAGGCUACUAAACUACUCAUUGCAAAAUGGUGGGAUCUCCUCUUGCUUGCACCGAAAGAAUUAUAUAUUUAUAUAUAAUUUAAUAUUGAAUUAUAUAUUUAUAUAUAAUUUAAUAUAUAUGGGGCAAGCAACAAAGGGGUAAGAUGCUUAAGGUAAAUAUUGCGUACGGAAUGAUGUAACGAUACAACAGCUGUCUCAAUGAUUGGCUCGGUGAAAUUGGAAUAGCAGUGGCCUUGUUUAAACCUACCCCGGACGCUGCGUUGGUUAGAAUCCAACUCUAUAGUUCUAUAUUUUAUUAACUUAUGUAUGUUAAACGUAUAGGUAUAUUCAAAGGGAAAGACAAAACGUAAAAAUAUAAUUAAAUAAUAUGGGCUAAGUUAAGGUUACAACCGUAGAAUGAUGUAACGAUACAACAGCUGUCUCAAUGAUUGGCUCGGUGAAAUUGGAAUAGCAGUGGCAGAUACUGUUUCCCUCUAGAUAGACGAGAAGACCCUAUGCAGCUUUACUGUUGCUAGUUACCGAGUAUGAUGUGCUGGGUUUUAGUGUAUAAGGUAAUCGGUAAGAUAGAAUUGAAACACCUUUACUUCAGCUUUCAUAUUAUAUAUACCCUACCAUCCAGAGCGAAUUGGUCUUCGAAGGCCAGUUCUUAGAUGUCAUCUUAGUCCAUGAGUCUACUGGAUUAGAGACAAAGGUAGAUGAACAAUUGCUAGGUGGCAGUUUAUGCGGGGCACAGAUCCCAUAAAAAGUACCUGGGAGUAACCUAAAUCACUUUUGUAAUAAUGCGAUUAGCUCUUCGCUCUUCGCUAUCCGCGGUUCGCUACUCAUUAAAGCUAUUGGAUAACCGGUAACCGAUGCAGCGUUUCGCAAUUGGAUAUAUGGCAGGGCUUUUGGCCUUGCUUAUUUAUUAACAUGUAUUUGGUCUUGUUUUAAGGCUAAUCCGAUUAUACCUUCACUUAAGUUGAAAUUUAUAUUUUAAACCAGUAAGAUUUUCGCUAUUAUAACAUAUAGAUGUAGCCAGGUCAAAGAGUCUAACUCUCUAUAAGAUCUUUGUUGUUUAGCUCCUUUCAUUAGAUAAGAGCCUAGAUGAUACUAACUCUACUUACCAAGUUUAACGGCAUAAUCUUGCUUUACUGUCUGACCUACACGUCUAUCAGUCGCGUAAGCGGGGCAUAAGAUCACAAGAUGCAGAAAGGAAAGGUCUUGGAUUGUUGAAAAAGCUACGCUAGGGAUAACAGGCUAAUUGCGCCAGAGAGUUCAAAUUGAGUGCGCAGUUUGGCACCUCGAUGUCGGCUUAGAUUAACCUUGAGGAUGCAGGAGCCUCAAAGGGUCCGACUGUUCGUCGGUUAAAAAUCUACACGAGCUGGGUUAAUACGUCGUAAGACAGUACGGUUUCUAUCUUCUAGAGGUAGUUAGAAUAAAAUAAGGUCAGCCCCUUGUACGAAAGGAGUUGGGUAUGUUAACCUAUUGUUUACCUGUUGUUUAUCCUCCUAUAUUAAUACGGAGGCAUCUUCAUACGAUUUUUAUCUUAUAAGCAUGCCGGGCCUAUUCUAUGCAAGCUAGUAUGUGGUAAGGGAUAGAGAGGAAUGAAACAUGUACCGUGAUAUGUAAGCCGAACCGGUAUUUAUGCUGGGCUAUGGUUUACACUGGGACCCUAUUUUUCACUGAAGUAGUGGACUAAGGAUAGGCACGGCAGGAAAGCUACGUUAGUUAUUGUUAAGUGCUGAAUGAAUAUAGGUACGAAGCAUUCCUUAGGAUAUUCUUAUAUAUAUGUAGUUUAACACUACGAU
rnacentral:rRNA from 1 species